rnacentral:lncRNA from 1 species
CUUUAGUUCAAUUUUACUUACAUCCUUUAUACUUUAAAAAGUAUCCAACUGAUCUUUCUAGUUAUCAAUAUAUUCUAAUAUGGUUCCGUCAUUUACUUACUAACAAACAGUAUUUUCUUUUCUCUUAAUGGAUAUAAAUGCCCCUCGCUUGUGGGUGGUCUUAGAGGAGGAAGAGAAUGAGAAGGAGGAGGGAGCCGCUGUACAGGGGGAUGGCUUAUAGACCGCUUGAAGGAGGAGGAAGGGAGAAGGAGGGAAUCAGUUGGAGAGAAGAGAGGAGGGAGGAAGAGGAUGAGAAGGCAGA